rnacentral:rRNA from 1 species
CACAGAGUUAGCCGAUGCUUAUUCCUCAGAUACCGUCAUUGUUUCUUCUCCGAGAAAAGAAGUUGACGACCCGUAGGCCUUCCACCUCCACGCGGCAUUGCUCCGUCAGGCUUUCGCCCAUUGCGGAAAAUUCCCCACUGCUGCCUCCCGUAGGAGUCUGGGCCGUGUCUCAGUCCCAGUGUGGCCGGUCGCCCUCUCAGGCCGGCUACCCGUCGUCGCCUUGGUAGGCCAUCACCCCACCAACAAGCUGAUAGGCCGCGGGCCCAUCCUCAGCCGAAAAACUUUCCACACCAGGCCAUGCGACCCGAUGUCGUAUCCGGUAUUAGCCCCGGUUUCCCGGAGUUGUCCCAGAGCUGAGGGCAGGUUGCCCACGUGUUACUCACCCGUUCGCCGCUCCGUCACCCCCGAAAGGUGCGUCGCUCGACUUGCAUGUGUUAAGCACGCCGCCAGCGUUCGUCCUGAGCCAGGAUCAAACUCU